rnacentral:rRNA from 1 species
GACGAACGCUGGCGGCGUGCUUAACACAUGCAAGUCGAACGGAAAGGCCCUGCUUGCAGGGUGCUCGAGUGGCGAACGGGUGAGUAACACGUGGGUGAUCUGCCCCUUACUUUGGGAUAAGCCUGGGAAACUGGGUCUAAUACUGGAUAGGACCAUGCUGUAGGUGGUGUGGUGGAAAGAUUAGUUUCGGUAAGGGAUGAGCUCGCGGCCUAUCAGCUUGUUGGUGGGGUAAUGGCCUACCAAGGCGUCGACGGGUAGCCGGCCUGAGAGGGUGGACGGCCACAUUGGGACUGAGAUACGGCCCAGACUCCUACGUGAGGCAGCAGUGGGGAAUAUUGCACAAUGGGCGCAAGCCUGAUGCAGCGACGCCGCGUGGGGGAUGACGGCCUUCGGGUUGUAAACUCCUUUCAGCCAUGACGAAGCCCUUGUGGUGACGGUAGUGGUAGAAGAAGCACCGGCUAACUACGUG